rnacentral:lncRNA from 1 species
GGGGGCUCCCGGCGCUUACCCGGCUGCAGAGGGCGAGGAGGACCACGAAGGCGACGCGGACGGGGCCCAUACUGGCGGCGGUCAUGGUUCAAGCGAGUCUCCUGCCUCAGCCUCCUGAGUAGCUGGGACUACACGUGUGUGCCACCAUGCCUGGUUCAACCAAUCUACAAAGGCCAAAAAUAUUUUCACAGGCCCCCAAAAGAUGAACUCCAAUCUGCUGCCCCUAAACGCAUUCUCCACUGUCUGGAAGAUGUGCAAAGGCAACGGCACAGCGUUCUCCAUCUCAAAUCCUUCAAAGUGCUGUCAGAAUAAAAGAAUCCCCACCAAAAGCCCCAGGGAAAUCUAUCUGUCUGUAUGGUAUGGUAAUGACUGAGGUUAUUCCAGAUAGGAUUCUGGGAGAAACUCAGCUAUUGAAAUCUAAUGAAUGGAACUGAGAAUUUCUUGUUAUAAUACUGUUUGUUUGAUUGAAUAUAUCCUUGCAUAUAGGAAGACAUAAAAAUAAAUAAUAAAAGCAA